rnacentral:misc_RNA from 1 species
GUGAAUCAUCGAAUUUUUGAACGCAAAUUGCGCUUCCUGGUAUUCCGGGGAGUAUGCCUGUUUGAGGGUCAGUAUUAAUAAAAAAUCGGUUUAGUUACAGAUUGUUUCUUUUCCGGAGUUUGGGCUAUCUUAACAUUUUUGGUUAAGAGGCUUAAAAUUGACUUUUUUUGCCCAUUUUUAAACGGACUUAAAUU